rnacentral:rRNA from 1 species
GAUGAACGCUAGCUACAGGCUUAACACAUGCAAGUCGAGGGGAAACGACAUCGAAAGCUUGCUUUUGAUGGGCGUCGACCGGCGCACGGGUGAGUAACGCGUAUCCAACCUGCCCAUCACUUGGGAAUAACCUUGCGAAAGUAAGACUAAUACCCAAUGACAUCCCACGAAGACAUCUGAAUGGGAUUAAAGAUUUAUCGGUGAUGGAUGGGGAUGCGUCUGAUUAGCUUGUUGGCGGGGUAACGGCCCACCAAGGCAACGAUCAGUAGGGGUUCUGAGAGGAAGGUCCCCCACAUUGGAACUGAGAAACGGUCCAAACUCCUACGGGAGGCAGCAGUGAGGAAUAUUGGUCAAUGGGCGAGAGCCUGAACCAGCCAAGUAGCGUGCAGGAUGACGGCCCUAUGGGUUGUAAACUGCUUUUAUAAGGGAAUAAAGUGGGUCUCGUGAGACUUUUUGCAUGUACCUUAUGAAUAAGAACCGGCUAAUUCCGUG